GUCAAAAUAUGCCUUUAAUGUGGUCGCAGAAGUUCUUCGAAAAUUCAAAACAGGUUGAGACUCCUGCCCGUGUCCAACUGUCCAUGGCAUGGUUGGGCACCUUAAUCAGGGGAUAAGCAUUGGUCAAGAUCUCGAUUGUCCAACUUCCUAUGGCGACGGCGAGUACUUUAGAUGUCAUGAUUACUGCCAACACUUUCUACGCCAAGACAACUUAUACAUUUUAAAAGAACCAGUCUGAAGAUUUAUUAUUUGCACGACUUCACAAGCCAACCAGGAUUUGAAUCUCCUUUGCCUCGGUCUCCAGAGGUUAUCCAACGACACCACCACGAACUCCACCACCACCAGGGACAUUUUGGCUGGCCUGCUCACCUUCGCGAAAGAGAUAGUACCACUCGUCAAUCAAUCAAAGCGCAAGAAUGAAGCUCUCGAUGAUAAGAGCUUCUUGGCCAAUGAAUUGUUCGGUCACUGUCUUGAAUAUACGGCCAUCAUUUCUGCACUAAUGAGUUCGGUAUGGCUGAUCAAAGUUGAAGUUGAAGUUGAUGAGAAAUGAAUCUACGGGCCCAAGAUUCCUAUUCUCGUUAAUAACACCGAAUGUUGCGGGUGAGGGCGUGAGUGAAUUGGAAGCACAUUAUCUGAUGCAUAAAAUGGCGGGAUUUUUUUGGCCUACAACGCAUAUGACGAAUAUCAAGGAUAUUUGGGUCUCUUCCUUGCAACCUAAAUGUUCGUAAUUUCCUGAUACUUCCUACAAUACCAAACAUGCUGAGGAGUGUUUCAUGGUGCAUUACUCGAGCCCCAUUGAAUUAAUACAAUGAUAAUGUCGUCGUCAAAUGAGUUUCAU